rnacentral:tRNA from 1 species
AGGGUUGUAGUUAAAUUUAACUUUUGAUUUGCAAUCAAAAAAUACUGAUUAAUUCAGUCUACCUU